AGGGGAAUUCAGCCAAACUGCAAACAAAAGCAAUGAGUCAAUGCUAGGCAAACCCUGACUAUACCUACUUGAGAUAGGUGGUUAAACCAGUUUUCCUGCAGGCUGGAGCUAGAAGACCCCUUCAGAAAAAGAGCCUGCUUGCUGGCUAAGGAAACCUCAAGCCCUGGCAUGUCUUUUACACACACUGUGGC
rnacentral:lncRNA from 1 species